UAGGAGGGUGGUAAAGCACUGGAAUGGGUUCCCUAGGGAGGUGGUGGAAUCUCCUUCCUUAGCUGUUUUUAAGGUCACUCUUGACCAAGCCCUGGCUGGGAUGAUUUAGUUGGGGAUUGGUCCUGCCUUGAGCAGGGGGUUGGACUAGAUGACCUCGAGAUGUCUCAUCUGACCCUAAUCUUCUAGGAUUUUAUGUACUGGAAGUGGUCACCAAAUG